CGGGCUCAGAUUCCAUUUCUCUUCACAUUCACACUCUUUAUUGACAUUUUCAUUUUUUUUUCCCAGGGGGUGGAAGCUGAGUUGGGGGGAAAUCAAACAUUGUUCAUCCCCCUUCCCCCCCACAUUACUUCCACAUGUCACAGCGCCUGCCCAGCCAAAAUUCAUGGAUUGCCUCAAGGACAAACAGGCCAUCUACACUGAAUUAUAAAUUUGAGUUUUAUCCAGUUUUCUGCUUUUGGACCAAAUGGGCAGCAAAUCCAGUGACUUCAUAUUUAAUAACCUAGAUGUCAUUUGUCCUGUGUCUUUCAGCACAGAGUAAAGAAUUGGAUGGCUAGCAGUUUUGCAGAUUUUUUCCCCCUAAUUAUUUUAAGCUAUUCAGCCUGGUAUUCGAACUAUUGAUGCAGAGCCAAAUUGCCAGCAGGGGAGAGAUCUGUCCAAUCCAGGAGCUAAAUGAGUCACUGAGAGUCAAUCUGUUUUUCCCUUGCUGCUGGGGUUUCCUCCGGCCCUGGCCUCUCUCUCUCUGCUCCAGUCACUCACAGAGCUGCAGGCUCAGCCCUCGUUGGCGCCCAUCGCCUCCCAUUCCCCUCCUCAGCCCUGCUUGCUGCAGCUGUUGAUGGGGUCUGACCGGCUGGCUGCGGAGAUUCAGGGCCUCAAUCACACUGUAGUUGAGGCCGUGCUUUGACAGAAAAUGAAGACAUCUUUGCCUUGUUGCAUUUGCUUCUCCAGUAAUACAUCAGGUAUCUGGAGAGGAAGGCCCACAAGCAGAGUGUGUUGGGGUACGAUGCCAGUUCAUCACUUUCCGCUGUCCAGUUUUCAGAGUGCUCUUCUACUUUUCCUAAGUCCAAAUGGAGUCCUUGGAGCCAGAAUCCUGCAUGUGGUCAUAAAAUAAUAAAAAUAAAGGUCUGUGGAUAUGCUGGAGGUAGCGGCAGGGCGGAAUGCCACAAACAUAAGCCAGGCCUGCUGGAGCAGUCGCUCUUCAAGCAUUGGAGAAGAAUUCACAGCGCUUCUAAUAACAUAUAUAUAUUUUUUCCAGUAAAAACAUUUUAUUUCUAACAACAUUUACUUAAAAACAAAAUUCUUGUAUUCUUCAUGUAGGGUCAGUAUUCAAUUACACAAAAAUAGGCAGCCAACUUAAGAACUGUAUAUAAGAUUAAGACAACUGGUAUUUCAUGGUAAAUGAUUAAAUUAGCUAACACAGUUAUAUCCUGAACUUUGCCAUUAGGACUGACAUUUUUGUUCGAUGUGCAUUGAGGAUUGUGGGUAAUCUAAACUGGUAUGAGCUUUUUCUCUUUGAAACUCAAACAGAAUUAAGGAACAGUAUUCUCUGCAAAUGGAAUACGGAGUUUGAGAACAGCCACAAAAAAAUUCUCUUGUAGUAAGCUGAACUGCCCUAGGAGUACUCAGGAAUUAGAGAAUUAGAGAACUGGAGAAAUGAGGGGCAUGGAUAGGAGGGAGAGAAAAAUUGAUUAAUUGAUUUACUAUAAUUUUCAAAUGGAAGUAUGUGGGAAAAUAAGACAAAACAAGCAGAGUUGUUUUUCACAGUGAAGCCUCAGAGGGGUGAAAGCUUUGUUCCUCUGGGUAGCAAGUUGUAUUUCCACAUUUCCGACUGCAUAUUCCAUAUUUAUGUUGAUUUUUGGUCUCUCUGUUCGUAGCUUGCUAGGUGGCAAGGGCAGUUAGAGGAAAAAAAGGCAGAUUUAUGAAACACAGAAAAAUUUCUCACUGAAAUCAGGCUUGGAUUUGUGAAUCACUUGUUUUUUUCCCUGUGGUCACUCCUGUGAUGAGGUCAACUGCUUCAAUCCUUUAGGUUUUGUAGAGGGGUUUCCGGAUUCCAGGAGUCCCAGAAGGUCCGGGGAGCACUCCCCACAUUUUAGCCAGAAGUAAUUAACUAAAACAUAAAGGCUCCACUUUCUCUUUUCACAUUUUGAGCCACAGAUUAUCUAAUUCCAAGCUUAAGACAUCAGAUUUCAGAUCAUUAGUGCAAAGCAUCUUCCACAGGAGGCAAUAAAAUGUCACUUUAUAUAACUCAGCUACAGUUACACUGCUUUCAGAAAGCAGGAAUCUCUCUGAAAAGAAAUUUACAUGAAAACAGUCGCAUUGUUUGAGAAUUUAUGCAAAUGUUGCACAAAGGAGUUUGACAGUGAUUUUAAAAACUGAAAUCUUUAUCACUGCCUCAAAGAUAUCCUGAAAAACUUAGUUACCUCUAAAGAAUUCCAUUGCACUUAUUUUUUAAAUGUCUAUAAUAUAGAGUUGUUUUAAAAAUUUUCCCUAAACUCCAAACUUCUUCCUCAGCUUCAAAGCCUUCUAUAAUGAAUAUCCUACAGAGAACCUAGUGCAUAUUGGUUUAACACUUACUAGGAUCACUCAUUACUAGUUAAGAAAAUUGAAGAUAACAACCAUAGCGCCAAGUAUUUUGAACAACAUAAAAUGUUUCUCCCGUGGGUGUAGCUCUUAGGGACCGCAUGGGGAUACGUACCCCUCAGUGCUCAAUCAGCACAAGAUGAAGCUCUAAGUGUCUCAAUCCAUGUUGAUUGCCUCUGAACUCCCCGGUGUUAGGAAUCUGGAUGUGUCCAUUACUGCAUUUUCAAACAAUGAACUGCCUGCGCCAGGAAUCUGAUUUCUGUAGAAAGACAUUAAGGGGCUGGGUGAGGAAUAGGGUGUCAACAAAACGUGGUAUUUUCCUUUGAUUUUCACUUUCUUUAAAUUCUUCUGCAUUUACUACCUAGCGACUGUCUGGCAUUGGUACCCUCAGUUUCUUUUCUUCUGCUUUUCCUCCUUAUUCAAUGUGGAAGAUGAUCAAAGUAUGACGUUUCUUCUACCCCAGAGGUUGGCAUUUCUGCAGGCACAAAUGAGCUUGGUUUUCAAGCACCAGUCUUUGAGCACAAGGAAUUCCUUUAAUGAUCACGGGCUAGAUAGACUUUGGAAUCAGACUCUUUGAAUUCCAGCUCUGCCAUUUACCAACUUUGACACUUUGGGGUUUUGGAAAUCUG
rnacentral:lncRNA from 10 species